UCAAGCCAGGGAGUCUUCAAUACCUGAUUCUUUAGAUCCCAGGCCAACUUCUAAGUCUACUCCGAUGAUCGUCUGGCAAGCGUUCAUCGGUGUCAUCUUAUAUGUAGUUAUUGUUGUAGUUAUAUUCCUGGUUAGUGGAAGAUUCAAGGGAACUACUACAUUCAAGCCGGUGGAUGCGUUGUACUUCACUGUGGUUACACUGUGCACCAUAGGAUUUGGUGACAUUGUGCCUGACUCCGCAUUUACCAAGCUUUUUACUUGUGUUCUCAUAUUG
rnacentral:misc_RNA from 1 species